rnacentral:rRNA from 1 species
GACGAACGCUGGCGGCGUGCCUAAUACAUGCAAGUAGGACGCAGUUGCGACCGGGUGAGUAACGCGUAGGUAACUGCCUAUUAGAGGGGGAUAACUAUUGGAAACGAUAGCUAAUACCGCAUACUAGUAGAUGGACCUGCGUUGUAUUAGAUAGUAGGUAGGGUAAUGGCCUACCUAGGCAACGAUAAAUAGCCGAACUGAGAGGGUGAUCGGCCACACUGGGACUGAGACACGGCCCAGACUCCUACGGGAGGCAGCAGUAGGGAAGCUUCGGCAAUGGGGGGAACCAUGACCGAGCAACGCCGCGUGAGUGAAGAAGGUUUUCGGAUCGUAAAGCUCUGUUGUUAAGGAAGCGGUACUUAACCAGAAAGGGACGGCUAACUACGUGCCAGCCGCCGCGGUAAUAC